rnacentral:rRNA from 1 species
GACGAACGCUGGCGGCGUGCCUAAUACAUGCAAGUAGAACGCUGAAGAGAGGAGCUUGCUCUUCUUGGAUGAGUUGCGAACGGGUGAGUAACGCGUAGGUAACCUGCCUUGUAGCGGGGGAUAACUAUUGGAAACGAUAGCUAAUACCGCAUAACAAUGGAUGACACAUGUCAUUUAUUUGAAAGGGGCAAUUGCUCCACUACAAGAUGGACCUGCGUUGUAUUAGCUAGUAGGUGAGGUAAUGGCUCACCUAGGCGACGAUACAUAGCCGACCUGAGAGGGUGAUCGGCCACACUGGGACUGAGACACGGCCCAGACUCCUACGGGAGGCAGCAGUAGGGAAUCUUCGGCAAUGGGGGCAACCCUGACCGAGCAACGCCGCGUGAGUGAAGAAGGUUUUCGGAUCGUAAAGCUCUGUUGUAAGUCAAGAACGGGUGUGAGAGUGGAAAGUUCACACUGUGACGGUAGCUUACCAGAAAGGGACGGCUAACUACGUGCCAGCAGCCGCGGUAAUACGUAGGUCCCGAGCGUUGUCCGGAUUUAUUGGGCGUAAAGCGAGCGCAGGCGGUUUGAUAAGUCUGAAGUUAAAGGCUGUGGCCUCAACCAUAGUUCGCUUUGGAAACUGUCAAACUUGAGUGCAGAAGGGGAGAGUGGAAUUCCAUGUGUAGCGGUGAAAUGCGUAGAUAUAUGGAGGAACACCGGUGGCGAAAGCGGCUCUCUGGUCUGUAACUGACGCUGAGGCUCGAAAGCGUGGGGAGCGGACAGGAUUAGAUACCCUGGUAGUCCACGCCGUAAACGAUGAGUGCUAGGUGUUGGAUCCUUUCCGGGAUUCAGUGCCGCAGCUAACGCAUUAAGCACUCCGCCUGGGGAGUACGACCGCAAGGUUGAAACUCAAAGGAAUUGACGGGGGCCAGCACAAGCGGUGGAGCAUGUGGUUUAAUUCGAAGCAACGCGAAGAACCUUACCAGGUCUUGACAUCCCGAUGCUAUUUCUAGAGAUAGAAAGUUACUUCGGUACAUCGGUGACAGGUGGUGCAUGGUUGUCGUCAGCUCGUGUCGUGAGAUGUUGGGUUAAGUCCCGCAACGAGCGCAACCCCUAUUGUUAGUUGCCAUCAUUCAGUUGGGCACUCUAGCGAGACUGCCGGUAAUAAACCGGAGGAAGGUGGGGAUGACGUCAAAUCAUCAUGCCCCUUAUGACCUGGGCUACACACGUGCUACAAUGGUUGGUACAACGAGUUGCGAGUCGGUGACGGCGAGCUAAUCUCUUAAAGCCAAUCUCAGUUCGGAUUGUAGGCUGCAACUCGCCUACAUGAAGUCGGAAUCGCUAGUAAUCGCGGAUCAGCACGCCGCGGUGAAUACGUUCCCGGGCCU